rnacentral:lncRNA from 1 species
AUCCUCCCGGCUUUUAUUACUUCUACGGCGUAAAUUUCUUUAUGUAUUGAUUUAAAAGUUUGUGUUAAAGUUAAAUUUACGCUUAGCAAAGAUGUUAAAACUGCUAUAUCUUCAUUCCGGUCUUUUGGAAUCAUCAGGAAAACAGAAUGUGUAGAUAAUAAGUUACUAUAAUACUAACAUAGUUACUAUUUCGAGUGUAAAGUUCAGAUGAUCUCAGAUUCGUUCUCAAUCGGUCAUGGAUUUCAAUUAUUGCCCUCAUUAUCAUUCCUCAGCUAGCUGUAGUAUCUACAACCGAUUCAACCAUGGACAUAGACAAUUUACUGUCAACUGAAUCUAUCGACAAAAAUUUCCAAAAUUUACUCAAAAGGAAAAUACUUCAUGCUCCAGCAAGUGAUAAAAUUCCUAGAAUGAAGAAAACAUCUAUGGAUUGAAUACUGUCUAGAGCCAUCUGAAAGCAUAUCUAAAAAUGUAGUACUGAAUAUCGUUCUUUCUUCAGACUAGUCCAAGUUUUAACAAAUCCACCAGACAUCCCUAGAUUUGGGUAUAUAAAUAUUUUUCUUACAUCCUCAUCUUUUUAUUAUCUAAGUAUUGAAUCUCUCAAGACAUCUAAUCAAGCAU